GGCGAGUGACCGGGAAGAGCUCAAAUUUGAAAUCUGGCGUCCUCAGGGCGUCCGAGUUGUAAUCUAUAGAGGCGUUUUCCGCGCCGGACCGUGUAUAAGUCUCCUGGAACGGAGUAUCAAAGAGGGUGACAAUCCCGUGCUUUACACGACGACCGGUGCUAUGUGAUACGUCUUCUAAGAGUCGAGUUGUUUGGGAAUGCAGCUCAAAAUGGGUGGUAAACUCCAUCUAAAGCUAAAUAUUGGUGGGAGACCGAUAGCGAACAAGUACCGUGAGGGAAAGAUGAAAAGCACUUUGGAAAGAGAGUUAAACAGUAUGUGAAAUUGUUGAAAGGGAAACGAUUGAAGUCAGUCGUGUCCAUUGGGUUCAGCCGGUCCUGCCGGUCUACUCCCUUUGGACGGGUCAACAUCAGUUCUGACCGGUGGAUAAUGGCGUGAGGAACGUGGCACCUCUCGGGGUGUGUUAUAGCCUCGCGUCGCAUACGCUGGUCGGGACUGAGGAACGCAGCUCGCCUUUAUGGCCGGGGUUCGCCCACGUCCGAGCUUAGGAUGUUGACAUAAUGGCUUUAAACGACCCGUC
rnacentral:rRNA from 1 species